AUGGUGAAACUGUUAGCUUCUUAUGAUGAGGAGGUCGGUUCUGUUGUACUAGGUAAUGCUCCAAGAAAUGCAAAGUAUACUUCACCAAAUAUUCAAAAAGAAAUCCUGCAUAUUAUGGCUUGUGACAUGCAAAGUUCAAUCCGCAAUGAGAUUGGUGAUGCCAAGUACUGCUUGCUUGUAGAUGAAUCAAGAGAUGAAUCUAAAAGAGAGCAAAUGGCCCUUGUUCGCCGUUUUGUUGAUAAACAAGGUUUCAGUCGAGAACAUUUUUUUUUGAUAUUGUUCAUGUUAAAGAUACAUCUUCAGCAACUUUGA
rnacentral:rRNA from 1 species